GACGAACGCUGGCGGCGUGCUUAACACAUGCAAGUCGAACGGAAAGGCCCUGCUUUUGUGGGGUGCUCGAGUGGCGAACGGGUGAGUAACACGUGAGUAACCUGCCCUUGACUUUGGGAUAACUUCAGGAAACUGGGGCUAAUACCGGAUAGGAGCUCCUGCUGCAUGGUGGGGGUUGGAAAGUUUCGGCGGUUGGGGAUGGACUCGCGGCUUAUCAGCUUGUUGGUGGGGUAGUGGCUUACCAAGGCUUUGACGGGUAGCCGGCCUGAGAGGGUGACCGGUCGCGUGGCGGCUGUGAGCGGGCCACGAAUGCGGGGGGGGGGCGCGGGGGGGUGAGAGGCCGACGGGGCGGGAGCCGGAGGCAGCAAGGCGGCGUGGGGGAGUGCGGCGUUGGGGUUGUCAUCCGGUGCCGCGGGGGAAGGAGGGUGGGUGUCGGUAAGGGGUAAAGAAGCACCGGAUAACGACGUGCCAGCAGUCGCCUUAAUAAGCGUACGAGCACCCGCGGAAC
rnacentral:rRNA from 1 species